rnacentral:rRNA from 1 species
CCCGGUGCCCUGCGGGGUUAACGGCGGUGUUAAACCUUAAAGUAGCGUGAUAAGUCGGCCUUUAAUUGGGGUCUGGUAUGAAGGGGUUGACGUCGGAGAAGCUGUCUCAAAAGAAUUUUGUGAAAUUUACUUUCUAGUGAAAAGGCUAGAAUAAUAUUAAAAGACGAGAAGACCCUGUCGAGCUUGAGGGAUUUGAUUGUUACAAAAACAUGAUUAGGAGUUUGGCUGGGGAAGCAAUGGAGGUAGCCUCCGUUUUUAAAUCAUAGAUCCAUUAUGUAAAUAAUAAUGAUAAAAGGAAAAAGCUACCGCAGGGAUAACAGCACAAGACCGCCCCAGAGGUCGUAUCGAAGGCGGUGAGUGUGACCUCGAUGUUGGAUUAAGGUGAACCAUUUCGUGCAGGAGCGAAAAAUGGUGGGACUGUUCUUCCUUUAAUACCUUACGUGAUCU